rnacentral:rRNA from 1 species
UGUUUAUCAAAAACAUGUCUUUUUGUUUAUAUUUAAAGUCUAACCUGCCCCCUGUAGUAUAAAUGGCCGCAGUAUUUUGACUGUGCUAAGGUAGCAUANUAAUUAGUUUUUUAAUUGAAAGCUAGAAUGAAAGGUUGUAUGNAAAAAUAUCUUUUUUUAAUAAAUUUAAUUAAAAUUUUAUUUUUAAGUUAAAAAGCUUAAAUAAAUUUUAAAGACGAGAAGACCCUAUAGAGUUUUAUAUUUAUAUUAAUAUUAUNAUUUAGAAUUUUAUUUAAAUNNNNAAUAAAAUAUUAAGUUGNNNNNAUUNAAAANUUUAAAAAACUUUUUNAUANUUAUAUAUUUAUAUAUAG